rnacentral:rRNA from 1 species
AUACGUAGGUGGCGAGCGUUGUUCGGAUUUAUUGGGCGUAAAGGGUCUGUAGGAGGUUUGUUAAAUACGGGGUGAAAUCCCGAAGCUCAACUUCGGAAUUGCCUUGUAGACUGACGGACUGGAGUACCGGAGAGGUAAGCGGAAUACCAGGUGUAGCGGUGGAAUGCGUAGAUAUCUGGUAGAACACCAAAAGCGAAGGCAGCUUGCUGGACGGAAACUGACUCUGAAAGACGAAAGCAUGGGGAGCAAACAGGAUUAGAUACCCUGGUAGUCCAUGCCGUAAACGUUGUCAACUUGAUGUGGGGGGAUUUAGUCCUCUCCGUAUCGAAGCUAACGCGAUAAGUUGACCGCCUGGGGACUACGGCCGCAAGGCUAA